rnacentral:tRNA from 1 species
GGGAGUGAAUGGGGAACUGGUGUCCCUCGCGGACUUCAAAUCCGUUGUUGCGUGCUAAUCCCACGCUGGGUGGGUUCGAUUCCCACACAUUCCCGCCA